GCCUUCGUGGUGUAAUGGUUAACACACUCGGCGGGUAUUCGAGAGGUCCAGGUUCGAGUCCCGGAGAGGACA
rnacentral:tRNA from 1 species